GGGUUGUGAGGUUAAGCGACUAAGCGUACACGGUGGAUGCCCUGGCAGUCAGAGGCGAUGAAGGACGUGCUAAUCUGCGAUAAGCGUCGGUAAGGUGAUAUGAACCGUUAUAACCGGCGAUUUCCGAAUGGGGAAACCCAGUGUGUUUCGACACACUAUCAUUAACUGAAUCCAUAGGUUAAUGAGGCGAACCGGGGGAACUGAAACAUCUAAGUACCCCGAGGAAAAGAAAUCAACCGAGAUUCCCCCAGUAGCGGCGAGCGAACGGGGAGGAGCCCAGAGCCUGAAUCAGUGUGUGUGUUAGUGGAAGCGUCUGGAAAGGCGCGCGAUACAGGGUGACAGCCCCGUACACAAAAAUGCACAUGCUGUGAGCUCGAUGAGUAGGGCGGGACACGUGGUAUCCUGUCUGAAUAUGGGGGGACCAUCCUCCAAGGCUAAAUACUCCUGACUGACCGAUAGUGAACCAGUACCGUGAGGGAAAGGCGAAAAGAACCCCGGCGAGGGGAGUGAAAAAGAACCUGAAACCGUGUACGUACAAGCAGUGGGAGCCCUCUUUGUGACUGCGUACCUUUUGUAUAAUGGGUCAGCGACUUAUAUUCUGUAGCAAGGUUAACCGAAUAGGGGAGCCGAAGGGAAACCGAGUCUUAACUGGGCGUUAAGUUGCAGGGUAUAGACCCGAAACCCGGUGAUCUAGCCAUGGGCAGGUUGAAGGUUGGGUAACACUAACUGGAGGACCGAACCGACUAAUGUUGAAAAAUUAGCGGAUGACUUGUGGCUGGGGGUGAAAGGCCAAUCAAACCGGGAGAUAGCUGGUUCUCCCCGAAAGCUAUUUAGGUAGCGCCUCGUGAAUUCAUCUCCGGGGGUAGAGCACUGUUUCGGCAAGGGGGUCAUCCCGACUUACCAACCCGAUGCAAACUGCGAAUACCGGAGAAUGUUAUCACGGGAGACACACGGCGGGUGCUAACGUCCGUCGUGAAGAGGGAAACAACCCAGACCGCCAGCUAAGGUCCCAAAGUCAUGGUUAAGUGGGAAACGAUGUGGGAAGGCCCAGACAGCCAGGAUGUUGGCUUAGAAGCAGCCAUCAUUUAAAGAAAGCGUAAUAGCUCACUGGUCGAGUCGGCCUGCGCGGAAGAUGUAACGGGGCUAAACCAUGCACCGAAGCUGCGGCAGCGACACUAUGUGUUGUUGGGUAGGGGAGCGUUCUGUAAGCCUGUGAAGGUGUACUGUGAGGUAUGCUGGAGGUAUCAGAAGUGCGAAUGCUGACAUAAGUAACGAUAAAGCGGGUGAAAAGCCCGCUCGCCGGAAGACCAAGGGUUCCUGUCCAACGUUAAUCGGGGCAGGGUGAGUCGACCCCUAAGGCGAGGCCGAAAGGCGUAGUCGAUGGGAAACAGGUUAAUAUUCCUGUACUUGGUGUUACUGCGAAGGGGGGACGGAGAAGGCUAUGUUGGCCGGGCGACGGUUGUCCCGGUUUAAGCGUGUAGGCUGGUUUUCCAGGCAAAUCCGGAAAAUCAAGGCUGAGGCGUGAUGACGAGGCACUACGGUGCUGAAGCAACAAAUGCCCUGCUUCCAGGAAAAGCCUCUAAGCAUCAGGUAACAUCAAAUCGUACCCCAAACCGACACAGGUGGUCAGGUAGAGAAUACCAAGGCGCUUGAGAGAACUCGGGUGAAGGAACUAGGCAAAAUGGUGCCGUAACUUCGGGAGAAGGCACGCUGAUAUGUAGGUGAAGUCCCUCGCGGAUGGAGCUGAAAUCAGUCGAAGAUACCAGCUGGCUGCAACUGUUUAUUAAAAACACAGCACUGUGCAAACACGAAAGUGGACGUAUACGGUGUGACGCCUGCCCGGUGCCGGAAGGUUAAUUGAUGGGGUCAGCGCAAGCGAAGCUCUUGAUCGAAGCCCCGGUAAACGGCGGCCGUAACUAUAACGGUCCUAAGGUAGCGAAAUUCCUUGUCGGGUAAGUUCCGACCUGCACGAAUGGCGUAAUGAUGGCCAGGCUGUCUCCACCCGAGACUCAGUGAAAUUGAACUCGCUGUGAAGAUGCAGUGUACCCGCGGCAAGACGGAAAGACCCCGUGAACCUUUACUAUAGCUUGACACUGAACAUUGAGCCUUGAUGUGUAGGAUAGGUGGGAGGCUUUGAAGUGUGGACGCCAGUCUGCAUGGAGCCGACCUUGAAAUACCACCCUUUAAUGUUUGAUGUUCUAACGUUGACCCGUGAUCCGGGUUGCGGACAGUGUCUGGUGGGUAGUUUGACUGGGGCGGUCUCCUCCUAAAGAGUAACGGAGGAGCACGAAGGUUGGCUAAUCCUGGUCGGACAUCAGGAGGUUAGUGCAAUGGCAUAAGCCAGCUUGACUGCGAGCGUGACGGCGCGAGCAGGUGCGAAAGCAGGUCAUAGUGAUCCGGUGGUUCUGAAUGGAAGGGCCAUCGCUCAACGGAUAAAAGGUACUCCGGGGAUAACAGGCUGAUACCGCCCAAGAGUUCAUAUCGACGGCGGUGUUUGGCACCUCGAUGUCGGCUCAUCACAUCCUGGGGCUGAAGUAGGUCCCAAGGGUAUGGCUGUUCGCCAUUUAAAGUGGUACGCGAGCUGGGUUUAGAACGUCGUGAGACAGUUCGGUCCCUAUCUGCCGUGGGCGCUGGAGAACUGAGGGGGGCUGCUCCUAGUACGAGAGGACCGGAGUGGACGCAUCACUGGUGUUCGGGUUGUCAUGCCAAUGGCACUGCCCGGUAGCUAAAUGCGGAAGAGAUAAGUGCUGAAAGCAUCUAAGCACGAAACUUGCCCCGAGAUGAGUUCUCCCUGACUCCUUGAGAGUCCUGAAGGAACGUUGAAGACGACGACGUUGAUAGGCCGGGUGUGUAAGCGCAGCGAUGCGUUGAGCUAACCGGUACUAAUGAACCGUGAGGCUUAACCUUACAACGCCGAAG
rnacentral:rRNA from 1 species